GGAGGAUCGUGUCUUGUUAGAGCAUAUUUCUCUUUUACUUCAGGACAGUGGGACCUUUCUGCGUGGUGCCGCACGGUCUCCGAGUGCACGCAAUCACAGCUUUGGAUGUGACAGCUGACAUCCAGCCACCCUCCUGCUGGCCAGCGCGCGGGGAGCCCGCGUCACGCGACGUGGCGAGCACCUCACAGCCCUGUAGGAACCAGGACCGUGAAUCUCGCUAGAGAAGAUAGCUCAACGAUGGGCACGGCUUUUUGGCUGACAGGACUUUUUGUUCCUCCUGGCAUCCUGGGCCUUCCCAAGAAGAUGCUGCAAAGGACCAAGACAUGAG
rnacentral:lncRNA from 1 species